CGAACAUCAAGCCAACUUUAUUCCAGUCCAAUGGAAAGCUGUUUCGCAACACCACUGAUGAUCGUCAACAUUUAUCUAGGGGACACAUGUCUGUGAGUGAGACUGCCAUACCUGCAUUUGCUUCUGUCUGCGCCUCCAUAUCGUGACAGGUAUGGAAAGCAGGGGUACCUGUGAAGAGAUGGGAUUUAUUAGGCAGCAAAUGAACAGUCAGUUCUCAAAGUUUGUGUGUUGGAAGCAAGAAAAAUGGGCAAGUUUAAGGAUUUGAGCGACUUUGACAAGGGCUAAAUUGUGACGGUCAGAGCAUCUCCAAAUAACGGCAGGUCUUGUAGAGUGUUCCCGGUAUGCAGUGGUUAAUACCUUCCAAAAGUGGUCCAAGGAAGGAUUUUUUUUCACAAGGGGGACCUACGCAAUUUUAGACAGAUGGUUUUAAUGUUUUUGCUAGUCGGUGUACAGUAUAUACCAGCAUGAAGUUAUGUUUUCACUGGAGACCAUAAAGCAAUUCUGUAUGUCGCUCUGAAUGAGGGCUAAAAUUGCUCAAAUUGUAAGUGUUAAUGGAUUACAUCAAAUGUAUAGAUUGAAGUGAAUAUCCUUAAUAUAACAUGCAUAAAAAUGACAGUAUUUAUGCAUGUUGUUCUACACAAGUAGAUAUAGAACAAAAUUAUAAAACAAAAUUAACAUUUAGUUUUGCUUUAUCUUUGUACAACCACUAGGUGGCGAUAAUGGCAGUGUGAGUGUAGGGAAAGGUUUGUUUAUUUAUUUGAUUCAUUUGAAAAGUAAAAGUAUCGACACUUGUCCAUUAGGUGGGUAACACAAUAACUUUAGUUGUCAAACCGCCUCAAUUCAAAAUGAAGAAGAGCAGGAGGGGCAACAGUAGAAGAGAAAAUCUCGUAUGUACUCCCGUGUAUUAAAUAAGUUAACUUAUUUACAGAAGUUAUUGUUUUUGUAAGUAAUCGGCCUGUUCAUAAACCGUUUUUUUUUUUUAAAGCAGCUCAUACUGC